GAGGAAUAUUGGUCAAUGGGGGCAACCCUGAACCAGCCAAGUCGCGUGAAGGAUGAAGGUCUUAUGGAUUGUAAACUUCUUUUACACGGGAAUAAAGCGGGGGACGUGUCCCUCUUUGCAUGUACCGUGUGAAUAAGGAUCGGCUAACUCCGUGCCAGCAGCCGCGGUAAUACGGAGGAUCCGAGCGUUAUCCGGAUUUAUUGGGUUUAAAGGGUGCGCAGGCGGGAUGUUAAGUCGGCGGUGAAAUUUUGCAGCUCAACUGUAAAAGUGCCUUCGAUACUGGCCUUCUUGAGUGUGGAUGAAGUAGGCGGAAUUUGUGGUGUAGCGGUGAAAUGCUUAGAUAUCACGAGGAACUCCGAUUGCGCAGGCAGCUUACUAAGCCACAACUGACGCUCAUGCACGAAGGCGUGGGGAUCAAACA
rnacentral:rRNA from 1 species